CCUUCAACGGAUAUUAGCGUUCCACUAGCCUUAGGAGUUAGCCACUCU
rnacentral:tRNA from 1 species